rnacentral:rRNA from 1 species
GACGAAGGGUGCGAGCGGUGUCCGGAGUCACUGGGCGUAAAGCGCGCGCAGGCGGGUACCUCAGUGUCGUGUGAAAGCCCCCGGCUCAACCGUGGGAUUACCUCAGAUACUGAGGACCUCGAGGUAGGUAGGGGCGACCCGAACUGCGGGUGUAGCGGUGAAAUGCGUAGAUAUCCACAGGAACUCCGAUGGGGAAGGCGGCGCGCUGGCCCCCUGCUGACGCUGAGGCACGAAAGCGAGGGGAGCAAACGGG